GGAUGAAGCAUCUGAUGGUGAUGCAAUGGAUAUUGAAGCUGUUGGUAACUCUGAUCUUGAUGCUCAAUUGGAUUCCUUGAGAACAAAACUUAUCUUGGCUGAACAGGAGUCUGCUAAAUUGAAGAGAGAGAUACAUGCAUUGUAAAGACAGUCUGUUAAUAGUAACCACCAAGCAGCUUCAGUCAAUGAAUUAAUGAAGUUGUCUGAGUAAAUUUCUGAGGAUGAUGCAUUCAAAGAAUUGAUGAGCAGGUCAAUCGCUAUUUGUAAUUGAAACCCUAACUAUCAAAAAGCGAUUCUGAUUCCAUCAAUCUUGCCUAAAAUCUGGUGUGUUCUUCGAUCUAAACAGGUAUCUUGAAUCAUUACGAUAUAAGUCCUAACCUUUUCAUUUUAUAAGUGAUUUUCAUGAUUGUGAAGAAUCGGUUCUCGGCCAUCAACAACCAAGUUUCAGGAGCUGAACUCUGAGCCGGUUAUACCCGAGGGUUUUCCCGAAUGGAAAGAGACUAUGGAUUCAUGGGUUUCUAAAAUGGUGUCCGUUAUAGAGGUGUGUCAUUAGCACCGAUUCCACAGUAAGGAUUUAAGAGACAAACUGAUUAAAUUUAUCGAGGAACAUGUUUAUCCAAUGGAGCAAGAGUUCAGUAAGCUCGCUCAAUCGUCCAUGCGUUGGACGGUUCAUCCACAAGAGGAAAAAUUGAAAGAGAUUGCAAAGAAAGAAGGCCUGUGGAAUCUUUUUAUACC